rnacentral:piRNA from 1 species
UGGCCCUUUCUUGGCUCAGCGUUCCUCAUGU